AAACUGAAACAUUUUUUAAUCUUGGCAAAAAUUCCUAAAUUCAAUACUUUUAGAGUUAGAUGUCAUUGAAAUUAGGUUUACUUUGAGAAAACCUCGAAAAACCUAAAUUUUUAAAAAUUCAUAAAUCAAAAAUUUGGACACUUAUAAAAAAAUACGUAUACAACUUUUUUCUGCAACCGAAAAAAAAAUAUUUAUCCGAAUUCAAAAUGUCACAGGUAAAUUUCACGUGUAAUUGCCUAUAUAAUAAAGAUCAGUGCGGGAAAGAUGUAUUUCAAUUAGUUAGCAAAAUAUUUUGCUCAUCGGAAACAAGCGCCGCCCGCCAUCUAGUAUCGUGCACCAUUACUAUACAUCUAUAAUUGUAUCAUGGCGGAUGCAUUAAGAGAGGUUAGUGUUUGUCAGUAUUUAUUUAUCAUGAUUUGCAUAAUAUUUCAUAACUCUUAUAUUUAUUUGAAUGAUAAAUUAGUGCAUCUAAUAAUAAUAAUACUUGUAUGCAAUAUAACUGAAUAUUUAAUUAUUUAUAUGUGUGUCAAAUUUAAAUUAAUUUUUGAUGAGAAGUAAAAUUCGAACAGUGGAAGAGUAUUAAGUGUCGGUCAGUGUUCAUUGGUUUUCAUGACGUUAUAUACAUAAUUAGCACGUAAACAAUUUUUGGGUUUUAUAAACAAGUAAUAAAUGUUAUUUAUUUAUAUUUAUAAAACAUUUAAAGAUGAGUGACGUAAGAAGACUUCUUAAAAAAAUUGUGUUUUGAAGAAGAAAUUAUUUCGACAUUCGAAGUGAGGUACCCCAAACAAGUUACAACAGAAAUCGUCAAAAGAAGCAAUUUGAGGGUUGAAAUUGUUUCCGCUUUCUUCAGAGUAUAUUUUUUUAAAAUACAUUAUUAUUUCUUAUUACGAUGCUAAAAUUAAUUAUUAUAAUUAUACAGACAG